CCCACGGGGGUGACACUGCACUUUGGCCUGGUGCAAGCGGCCGGGGUUUGUGCGGCCUCCGGUGCCCGGGGUCGGGAGAAAUCGAGGCGCUCCGUUGCCAGGUGGUGGUAACCGACGGUGUUUACCGAAAUUGCUGGGACAGCCUCUCCCUUCUGGGGGAGAAACUGGCGACGUCCGAGGGAAGGUGGUACCGGUACCGUCCGGAGCGGACCGGUGGGAAGCCUGGCCAACCACCACCCCCUCCCCAGGCGGUGCCUCCCGGGGUCAAAGUACAAGAUGGUGCUAAUUACAAAUCAGCCCUGGGCUACUUGCAGACGUUUGGAAGUGGAAGAUCAGAACGGAGGGACUUCUGGCCUCUGGAUUGAGGAAGUGACAUUCUGUUUUUCAAAGGAAGUGUUGUUGGGGAGUGCAAAUGUGUGUGUAUGUAAAUGAAAGCAGGCUCUUAUUUAAAUCACUUGCUGAGAAGACUCUUAAGAAUUUAACAAUGACUUUUGAAAGUGGACCGAGAUUCAAAACGCAGCACGGAGGAGGCAGUCAAGUGUUCACCCCAGUUCUAAAGCCCACUUUUCGGGGAUGCCUGGGAAGCCGAACUCCAUACGAUUACUAAGAAAGAGAUUUUUCCCCUUUUCACAAUCAGCUCAUUAGGAAACGUGAAUUUUUAUAUAAUGUUAAGGAUGAGUAAUUUGCUAUUAAUGUUUAUAUAUAUAUAUAUAUAUAUUUUUUUUUUUUUUUUUUAAUGAAACAAAUCUUUGAGCUUCUGAAAACUAUUAGCAAAAGUGUACUAACCUACCGACUGGUGGAAUAGAGUAUCCAGUGAAAAUGUGACUGUUAAUUUUCAAGUUAGAACACUACCCUAAAGAGCCUUGAAACUGUUUUUGAUACAGUUUGCAAACUGUCUGACACCUUAUCUGUGUUCAAUGACUACUCCAACUCUAUCACCCAGACUCUUUAUGACCCAUUUGUUUGGUAUUUUUGUUCUCGAGCAACUUACCUCAGGAAAAAACAAAAACAAAAACAAACAAAAAAACAAGUUUGGAGGCUUUGGAGUCAAGCAUCUUUUUCACCCAUCUGCAGUACUUGACACCCUACAGUCAUAGGAUGACCUCAGCCUCUUUCCCAUCCUCCUUGUGGCUCUAGCCCAUAGACAUCUGAUCAAGCUAGUAACAGCUUUUCUUAGGCUUCGGGGUGAUGUGUUCUAUUGGUAUGCCUGGAGUCUCCCCUACUGUGGUAGUUCAAUUCUCUUAGUUGAAACUGAGCCGAUCUACCUAACCCCAGACUCGAGGGGUUAGAGUCUACCCUUACAUCUUAUUUUCUUUUUGCGAGUGGAGAAUUUUUGCGCCUUGUUUUAAGUUAGAACUUUGCCAGUUCCCUGUGUUCAUUUAGAGACCCAGAUUAUUCAUUAGAAUCAAUCUAGGAGGCAAGUAAUUUCCAGCUCUGUUGCUAAACACACACCCCAAAAUAGCUGCUUAUUCUCAUGUAUACCAUAGGUAUGUGGUAUUAUGGAUCAAUAAGUCUUCAUUGUAAGAAUAUGUCAACCAUCAGAGGUAAAGACAAAAGAAGCUGAUGAAAUGGAUUGCAGCUACUUAUAGUUAAUUUUAAAAACUUCUCUCGAAUGUGAGGAGAAGGUAGGUUUAAGGGGGAAAACCAUUUAAAAGAAGCCAUGGCAAAUAUUACCUGGGAUCAGGUUUAGAGAUUUUUUUUCAUCAUUUUUUUCCAAUUAAUCAUAAGAAAAUGUAGGGAUCUAUUCAGUAUUGCUCUGAACAUUGGGGUAAUUACAAAAAGUGACCUCUGGGAAGUGGUGAGUGUUGCCUCUGGGCCAUGGUGAUAUCUUUGCAGUGCAAGGCCAGCAGAAGGAACAGCCCUCCCAUCGUGCUGUAGUAUGCCUAUAUAUGAGUGUGUGUGCAUACACACACACACACACACGGCUGAAGCCAGAUUUUCUCAGAGAAAAACAUUUUAUGACUUACACUGCUCUGUAAUUUUCUAUUAGUUUCAAUAGAUUUAGGGGAAAAGAUUGGUAGUAACACUGCCCUCUAGUGACUAUUUGGAGAAAAUUGUGUACUGGUUCUAAUGAACAACUGCACCGAGGAGACUUUAUUUUUAUUAAAUAAAUUUAUUUAUUAAA